UACGAAGGGUGCAAGCGUUACUCGGAAUUACUGGGCGUAAAGCGUGCGUAGGUGGUUUGUUAAGUCUGAUGUGAAAGCCCUGGGCUCAACCUGGGAAUUGCAUUGGAUACUGGCAGGCUAGAGUGCGGUAGAGGAUGGCGGAAUUCCCGGUGUAGCAGUGAAAUGCGUAGAGAUCGGGAGGAACAUCUGUGGCGAAGGCGGCCAUCUGGACCAGCACUGACACUGAGGCACGAAAGCGUGGGAGCAAACAGG
rnacentral:rRNA from 1 species